rnacentral:rRNA from 1 species
AGUGAACGCUGGCGGUAGGCCUAACACAUGCAAGUCGAACGGCAGCACAUUAAUAGCUUGCUCUUACGGGUGGCGAGUGGCGGACGGGUGCGGAAUACAUCGGAAUCUACUUUUUCGUGGGGUAUAACUUAGGGAAACUUACGCUAAUACCGCAUACGACCUACGGGUGAAAGCAGGGGAUCUUCGUACCUUGCGCGAUUGAAUGAUCCGAUGUCGGAUUAGCUAGUUGGCGGGGUAAAGGCCCACCAAGGCGACGAUCCGUAGCUGGUCUGAGAGGAUGAUCAGCCACACUGGAACUGAGACACGGUCCAGACUCCUACGGGAGGCAGCAGUGGGGAAUAUUGGACAAUGGGCGCAAGCCUGAUCCAGCCAUACCGCGUGGGUGAAGAAGGCCUUCGGGUUGUAAAGCCCUUUUGUUGGGAAAGAAAAGCAGCAGGUUAAUACCCCGCUGUUCUGACGGUACCCAAAGAAUAAGCACCGGCUAACUUCGUG